CUCUGAACAGGGAGGAAGGCGACAGACUGCUGUUUAUGCCGAAGUGUGAUGUCGGAGACGGGAUCUCUGCUGCUCUGCUGUGUGUUCGUCCGGUAGGACGACUAACCCCCGCCCUGGUUCAGUGCAAAGCUGGCUGCUGCUGCCCUGAACACAUCUGAACGGAUUGCUUCAGAGCCGAGUCCAAUCUGUGCAUGUGCGGGGGAGAGCGACCGCCUGGCCGGAGCAGCAGACCCAGGAGGGACUGUGUGUGAGCGUGGCUGGUCUCACUCAGGUCGUGUUUUCAACGUUUCUCUGCCACCAAGAGGGCUCGAAACGGUUUGCUGGUAAAUGGAAGCUGAGAUUUGCACAUCAUCACCUGACUCCAGGAGCUGGGGCUUUGAGCAAAGCACCAAAGACCAUGAGACUUGCGAGAAUUGGCAACAGGCUGUGUGUGUUAAAGGUAGUCAGUGCACGUGCUCAUUGGCGAAAGCAUACCGUCUCCCAGGGUCAAAUCCUGCUGCCCAAGAAAAGGAUGUUGGGCCCCAAACACAGUGGCAAUGAUGCGUUUCUGCUGCUCAGGGGUGCAGGAGUCUGCACUCUUCAGAGCACGGCCACGUGGAUGGGGGGAGGACAAAGGUGGCUCUCUAAUUACAGGUGUGCCUUUUGUAACACCUGACAAAAUUUGGCUUGGAACGCUCCCACCAAACGGCCACUGUUGUUACAGGACAAACGACGCACCUGCUGCCGGACCUGGGCACCGAGGAGCCCAAAACACAGCUCCACACCAGGAUCCUGGAACCCGUCUCUCAUUGCCAUGCUUCGAGAUUCCGGAGCUUGUUCCCAUUCACGCAGGAGGUUCAGAUGCCUGCAGAUCAAAGGGGUGUGAUAACUGGGCAAGAGAGAGCUGCUUGUUGUAUAAGUAAUGAAUGCAGAGCUGAUGCUGGGUUGACUGUACUGAAGGCAGAAGAAAUUUAAACUAUAUAUCCGGUCUAUAAAUAAACACUUGCACUUAAAUUCAGGCUUCAAAUAGCUUUUUCACAUGC